rnacentral:rRNA from 1 species
AUUGAACGCUGGCGGCAGGCCUAACACAUGCAAGUCGAGCGGAUGAUGGGAGCUUGCUCCUGGAUUCAGCGGCGGACGGGUGAGUAAUGCCUAGGAAUCUGCCUGGUAGUGGGGGACAACGUUUCGAAAGGAACGCUAAUACCGCAUACGUCCUACGGGAGAAAGCAGGGGACCUUCGGGCCUUGCGCUAUCAGAUGAGCCUAGGUCGGAUUAGCUAGUAGGUGAGGUAAAGGCUCACCUAGGCGACGAUCCGUAACUGGUCUGAGAGGAUGAUCAGUCACACUGGUACUGAGACACGGUCCAGACUCCUACGGGAGGCAGCAGUGGGGAAUAUUGGACAAUGGGCGAAAGCCUGAUCCAGCCAUGCCGCGUGUGUGAAGAAGGUCUUCGGAUUGUAAAGCACUUUAAGUUGGGAGGAAGGGCAGUAAGUUAAUACCUUGCUGUUUUGACGUUACCGACAGAAUAAGCACCGGCUAACUUCGUGCCAGCCGCCGCCGUAAAAC